AAAUACAACGGUAUGUUUUUGGCUGGCAGGGCCAAGGAAGGCCAGAAAGCCAAUUUUCUAGUUCCUAACUCAGCAUCACUCACAAAUAUUUGGCCUUGUAAAAGAGAUGUGACACCCUAAUGAACCAAAUCCUUACCUAUGCCUUUACCUUUCAGAAGAAAAAAUCCUUAUGACCUUCACUGGCGGGAUAAUCACAGACCCACAACCAGGAAGUAAAAUCCUUAAAGCAGGGACUAUAUUUAUAAACCUCUUUGGGUUUUGCAAGCCGAGAGACACUUGAGAGGGACUGCUCUGAAUGCCUGGCUCUAUCUUUGCGAUGGUGAAUAAAAGAAGCAAUGUACGCUUUGUUAACGAUGGUCUUGUGAGGAACAUGUUUAAAGCGCUCUAGCAUGUUGUAAAAUCAUGUCUGUUGAUCUCUGAAAUAAGGAAUCGUAACAGAAACAAAAUUUAAUAUGAAAUACAUCAGUGGACUGCUGAUGAUUCAUAUAACACAUGCACUAAGCGUAUGUUAGCUUGUUUAAUACCUGCAGCAAUUCCACGAUGUGUUAAUAACUCCAGUGGACAAAUGAAGAAACGGGAUUAAGACUCUACAUCUAGUCAGGGCAAAGCUACUCCUCGGACCCAGGUCUCUCAGAGAUGGUCAUACUCUCUAGCUAACUCACAAGAAACUGAUGAAUAUGUGAAAAAAUGUUGACUAUCUGUAGCGGAGGAUAUCCCUUUCCAGGGAACAGAAAUACCCUUUCUCCUAUCCUCAACAACUCUUCCCUGGUAUCACAGGAUCUGAGAAGCUGUCAUUAUUUAGAAAUCUGCAGAGCGAGACUGAAUAGUAUCAGAAGACGCUCCACGCAGACCAUGAUGCAUUUAUUUAAGUAGCUGAAUGCUUGGCGGCAGCCUCUUGUCCUCUUCCAAGUCUCUCGGAGCCGUCUCGCCUUCCCUCCUCAAGUGCAUCUAUCAUCCAUUGAUGUCCGUUGCCUCCUCACACUGACACGUAGUAGAUGCUCACACUUUGGAGCAAUAAGUUCAUUUUACUGGAACCGUAUCUGAACAUAUUAGCAUCUCACCCACUGUGGCUGUUCCAUAAAAUGCCAAAUGAUAAGAAGAGCUGGGAUUUGGGACUUUUCUUCUGCGGUUGUGAAACUUGGAAGCAAUCCAGCUGUCAAGUCAAAGACAAACUUCACCUGUGCUCGUUCAGAUCCAUCACGCCUGCGAAACGGGAAGAUAAGGUUACACCCAGUGAGGUGCUGAAACAUGGGAAAUCGAACCAACCCAAGGGCCGCUUUAAUUAAAGCAGAGCUCGGCCGAGCGAGGCUUAUCAGCAAGGGACCUGAGACUCCCCCAAUGUGUGCAGCUCAGGAUCAAACCCAGUCAGCCCUCACCCGUGGCUGAGAGGCACCAGAAGCCCCGUGUGAAGCACAACCUGAACUUGGCUGGCACCGGCCCAAACGCCUGCAACGGACUUUGAUCAUGUAGCCGUAAAUGCCACAGGAUUUCGGGCCAAACUGAAGCUCAGCGACUCUCAUGAGCAAUGACAAAAAGUGGAGAUCAGAGAAAAGUAAGAAAGGGCCGAAACUUCAAUCACAUGCCAAGGACAUAACGUUGUGUCGAGAAGCGGUCAACGCCUCCCAAACUGUGCCUGAGCCUCGGGACAGAACAGAAGCAUCCAGAUCUCCCUCAUGGAUAUUUUGUCUUUUCACAUUUCACAUGGUCUUGUUAUGAAGUUCUUGAGCACCUGUAAAUAGCUUUUCCUAUAGUACGAUUUCUUCCUCUUGGGCAUUUAUACUCUCCCUGCCAGAGAAUUCUGAUGUGGUCUAGAUUCUGGACAAACACGAUUUGUUUCUCUCUGGUGUGACGGAGCUGAAACCGAGCCCUGCGGUGGGAAGGCUGUUCUCAUGGCAAGAG